rnacentral:rRNA from 1 species
AUUGAACGCUGGCGGCAGGCCUAACACAUGCAAGUCGAGCGGGGUUUUCGGACCUAGCGGCGGACGGGUGAGUAAUGCGUAGGAAGCUACCCGAUAGAGGGGGAUACCAGUUGGAAACGACUGUUAAUACCGCAUAAUGUCUACGGACCAAAGUGUGGGACCUUCGGGCCACAUGCUAUCGGAUGCGCCUACGUGGGAUUAGCUGGUUGGUGGGGUAAUGGCUCCCCAAGGGGACGAUCCCUAGCUGGCUUGAGAGGAUGAUCAGCCACACUGGAACUGAGACACGGUCCAGACUCCUACGGGAGGCAGCAGUGGGGAAUAUUGGACAAUGGGCGCAAGCCGGAUCCAGCCAUGCCGCGUGUGUGAAGAAGGCCUUCGGGUUGUAAAGCACUUUCAGUAGGGAGGAAGAGUUGAGUGUUAAUAGUACUCAGCUUUGACGUUACCUACAGAAGAAGCACCGGCUAACUCUGUGCCAGCCGCCGCCGUAA